ACGAGCAGGAGCACGUUCAGACAGACAGGCGAUCGGUUCAAAACCAAGCCACGUGCUGCCUCUCAUCGCUCAGCCUGUGUGCGACUACGCUUUGCCAACUCGCGCAGGCUGCAGCCCAAACAUGUGACGCUCAACUCUGAGGGGGUAUGGAUCGGUUCCUGAAAGCCAUCCUGAUGGACGUGAGGAGCUGUGACGCUGAGGAACAGUGCAGGACAAACACAGUAGGCAGGAACCUCCGACGCCCCAGAAGACACAGUGGAGAAGUCACACAACUUGAUUAAUUUCACAGUGAGAAGUCGUUGCUAACAUCCCAAGCAUUGAUCAUCAUACACCCUGUGCGGCACAAAGUGGUAUUGAGAGGGGGGCCAAUAUGUGACAUUGAUUGGUGGAAUAAUGGGGCUUCAAGAAGAGUUGAACACAAAGAGCGAGCGCCACAGACGAGGGGACGACAGCUGGACGCCGUGAAAGUGGCUGCGUGUGGACUUUGGGCUUCUCGCGUCCGUCUGUCUCACUGCCUGUGGAGCGACGGCCGCCACGUUUCCAACCAUGCAUGCGUGAGGAACGUUACACAGCUGCUGCAUCACGAGCCCAGGUUCUGGUCGUCUCUGCGUCUCUGA
rnacentral:lncRNA from 1 species